rnacentral:rRNA from 1 species
GACAGAGGGUGCAAACGUUGUUCGGAAUUACUGGGCGUAAAGCGUGUGUAGGCGGUUUGCUAAGUCGGGUGUGAAAGCCCCGGGCUCAACCCGGGAAGUGCACUCGAAACUGGCAGGCUAGAGUACUGGAGAGGUUGGUGGAAUUCUCGGUGUAGAGGUGAAAUUCGUAGAUAUCGAGAGGAACACCGGUGGCGAAGGCGGCCAACUGGACAGAUACUGACGCUGAGACACGAAAGCGUGGGGAGCAAACAGG